GACGAACGCUGGCGGCGUGCUUAACACAUGCAAGUCGAGCGGUAAGGCCCUUCCGGGGUACGACGAGCGGCGAACGGGUGAGUAACACGUGGGUGACCUGCCCUCAGCUCUGGGAUAAGCCUGGGAAACUGGGUCUAAUACUGGAUAUGACUCCACGGUGCAUGUCGUGGGGUGGAAAGCCUUGUGCGGCUGAGGAUGGGCCCGCGGCCUAUCAGCUUGUUGGUGGGGUGAUGGCCUACCAAAGGCGACGACGGUAGCCGGCCUGAGAGGCGACGGCCACACUGGGACUGAGACACGGCCCAGACUCCUACGGG
rnacentral:rRNA from 1 species